GCUUAUCUAGUUAUAUAUUCAUUUUGUAGGAUCAGUACAGAUCUGUCAAUGGAGAUACAGUGCAAGCUGUGUGGAAUCAAAGACCCGUAUUGAUGAGGCCAGUGUCAGUGAAGAUGGUGUGGUCACUGGAAUCCUGGUGUUUGUGGGAAAUGUGAAGGAUGUUCUCCCAGGAUUCUACUACAGUGUUGUCCUGAUGACUGAGGUAUUUUUUUUUUUUUACUUUCCUGCCUCUUUGGAACAUGUCCAUUUACGCAUACUGUGUAGAGAUGGUGCGCAGCUUCAUGGACAUUUGAGGUUUUCUGCUGAUGGAGAGCUUCUGGGACAUUGACAUAAACAGCACUUUUUCCUACAACUUCAAAAAAGUUGGUGAUAGACAAUUUUGGUUUCUUGUUUUUGUGCCUUUGGAAUUCGUCAA